GGGUCCAUCGUCUAUCGGUUAGGACACCACCCUGUCACGGUGGAGAGAGGGGUUCAACUCCCCUUGGACUCGCCA
rnacentral:tRNA from 5 species